rnacentral:rRNA from 1 species
AACGAACGCUGGCGGCAUGCCUAACACAUGCAAGUCGAACGAGACCUUCGGGUCUAGUGGCGCACGGGUGCGUAACGCGUGGGAACCUGCCCUUAGGUUCGGAAUAACUCCCCGAAAGGGGUGCUAAUACCGGAUAAUGUCUUCGGACCAAAGAUUUAUCGCCUUUGGAUGGGCCCGCGUUGGAUUAGCUAGUUGGUAGGGUAAAAGCCUACCAAGGCGACGAUCCAUAGCUGGUCUGAGAGGAUGAUCAGCCACACUGGGACUGAGACACGGCCCAGACUCCUACGGGAGGCAGCAGUGGGGAAUAUUGGACAAUGGGCGAAAGCCUUAUCCAGCAAUGCCGCGUGAGUGAUGAAGGCCUUAGGGUUGUAAAGCUCUUUUACCCGGGAUGAUAAUGACAGUACCGGGAGAAUAAGCGCCGGCUAACUCCGUG